CAGCGCCACGGUAAUACGUAGGUGGCAAGCGUUGUCCGGAAUUAUUGGGCGUAAAGGGCUCGCAGGCGGUUUCUUAAGUCUGAUGUGAAAGCCCCCGGCUCAACCGGGGAGGGUCAUUGGAAACUGGGAAACUUGAGUGCAGAAGAGGAGAGUGGAAUUCCACGUGUAGCGGUGAAAUGCGUAGAGAUGUGGAGGAACACCAGUGGCGAAGGCGGCUCUCUGGUCUGUAACUGACGCUGAGGAGCGAAAGCGUGGGGAGCGAACAGGAUUAGAUACCCCCGUAGUCCCUGUCUCUUAUACA
rnacentral:rRNA from 1 species